rnacentral:rRNA from 1 species
GACGAACGCUGGCGGCGUGCUUAACACAUGCAAGUCGAACGAAGAGCGAUGGAAGCUUGCUUCUAUCAAUCUUAGUGGCGAACGGGUGAGUAACGCGUAAUCAACCUGCCCUUCAGAGGGGGACAACAGUUGGAAACGACUGCUAAUACCGCAUACGAUCCAAUCUCGGCAUCGGGACUGGAUGAAAGGUGGCCUCUAUUUAUAAGCUAUCACUGAAGGAGGUGAUUGCGUCUGAUUAGCUAGUUGGAGGGGUAACGGCCCACCAAGGCGAUGAUCAGUAGCCGGUCUGAGAGGAUGAACGGCCACAUUGGGACUGAGACACGGCCCAGACUCCUACGGGAGGCAGCAGUGGGGAAUCUUCCGAAAUGGACGAAAGUCUGACGGAGCAACGCCGCGUGAGUGAUGACGGCCUUCGGGUUGUAAAGCUCUGUUAAUCGGGACGAAUGGUUCUUGUGCGAAUAGUGCGAGGAUUUGACGGUACCGGAAUAGAAAGCCACGGCUAACUACGUG